rnacentral:rRNA from 1 species
CUACCCUUGACAUGUCCGGAACCCUGCUGAGAGGUGGGGGUGCCCGAAAGGGAAUCGGAACACAGGUGCUGCAUGGCUGUCGUCAGCUCGUGUCGUGAGAUGUUGGGUUAAGUCCCGCAACGAGCGCAACCCUUGUCCCUAGUUGCUACGCAAGGGCACUCUAGGGAGACUGCCGGUGACAAACCGGAGGAAGGUGGGGAUGACGUCAAGUCCUCAUGGCCCUUAUGGGUAGGGCUUCACACGUCAUACAAUGGACGGUACAGAGGGUAGCCAACCCGCGAGGGGGAGCCAAUCCCAGAAAGCCGUUCGUAGUCCGGAUCGCAGUCUGCAACUCGACUGCGUGAAGUCGGAAUCGCUAGUAAUCGCGGAUCAGCAUGCCGCGGUGAAUACGUUCCC